GACUCGUGGGAAUAUAAAAUAUGCCUUGACUUUGUUCACGACUUGACUCAAUGAAUAGAUUAAAGCUUUGCAUUUUCCUUCAUAGGGAACUUAUCCAACAAAGCUUUGUCUUAGUUCAUAAAUUCCCAUUCCAUAAAUACCAACAAAUCAUAUUGAUAACCAAACCUGUCCCGCAAAUUUUAAGCUUGAUCAGUUUCUUUUAUAUUUCAAAUUUCAAUGGCUCAACGUUCAUGGUCUGACCUGCCACGAGUUCUCAUCGAUUGUAUAUUUAGACGCCACAUGAAAAUAGGGGGGAAGGGGAUAGAACCAAAGGAUCUUGCAAGAUGUAGCCUUGUCUGUACUACUUGGAGAAGCGUUAUUGCUGAUAUUUGGGGCAAGAAUUUAUCUUUGUUGAGUUCACCACAUAGGCCGAUUCAUAUGAGAAUUCUAGCUGAGUACCAGAAUUUCCAGAGAGAUCCUCCAGAAGGUUGCAAAGUUAUGUUUGUUGAUAGUCUCUUCCAUUGGGAAGCCAUCAUGAUUGGUCCCCAAAGUAGCCCUUAUGCUGGUGGAGUCUUUCUCUUAAGACAUCCAUUUCUCUGAUGAACACCCAUUCAAAGCUCCCAAAGUCACGUUCCAAACCAAGGUUUUUCACCCAAACAUUAACCAGAAAGGCGGGUUAUGUCUUGAGACAUCAUGGUGCCCAAUAACGACCAUUUUACACGUUCUCCUAGUAAUCUAUGCUCGCUUCAAUGACCCUGAUCCUAAUGACCCUAUUGAUUUUGAGAUUGCUCACAUAUAUAAGACUCAAAGAACUCAAUAUGAAGAAAGAGCAAGAGUUUGGACCAAGAAAUUUGCUACUGCAAGCCAGAUAAGCGCAAUAGAUUGGUCAUACUUUCUCAAGAAGCAUAAAAUUGGGGAGACACCAAUGUAGGUGUACAAACAAAAAUUAGAAGAAUGAAACUUUGUGCCCAAAGAUAAGUUGCAAAUUGACUCGGUUAUAUGGUUGUGGUGAUUUUCAAUUGAUUAACCUCCUUGGCAAAUAUUACCUAAUUAGUUUGGUGUUUUAUAAAAUUAGGCAGUUGGACAUCAACUAUGUUUUUUGCAUGUAUCUUCUUCGAGAAUUCUAUCAUAGGGAUUAACAAAGCCAAUGUUGGUUUUCAUAUUCUAAAAUCAUUUGU